GUGCCUGUAGCUCAGUUGGAUAGAGCGACAGACUUCUAAUCUGUAGGUCGUAGGUUCAAAUCCUACCAGGCACACCA
rnacentral:tRNA from 1 species